GUUUUCACGUAUCUUACGCGAUUGAUCGCCACCCCGCAGAGGGAAAAGAGGAGAGGGAGCGAGGAGAUCCCCCAUCUUGAUCUUCUUGAGCGUGGUGUUCUUCGUCGAACUCCGCCUCUCCUUCGCACCAAGCCACCCCUACCGCCGCCUCAAGCUUCGCUCGCCGCGCCCGGCCACGACCGUCGCAGCAUCCCCUUCGACGCCGUCAUCGCUGACGUCAAGCGCCGCCGCGAGGACCGCCAGUGGGAGCGCGCCCAUUUCUUCGUUGUCAAGAUCGAGUUUUGGUUCCCUUUUCCUGAGCGUCAUCCCUGUUAACUAGCUUUGACCUGUUCCCUGCGAUGUGAUAUCCUUUCUGGAUGUAGUUCAUGGAAUAUUGACUGGGAACCGAAGCCUUUUGUUUGGAAACUCAUUGUUUGGUGUUGCGAAAAGACAAACAAUGAGGGCUUUUUUUUUUGGUUUAAGCUUAGGUGGAGCCUCAGAUAUUGGGAUCCCUUGGGCACUGGUGGUUCAAGAAGACAGAUGUGAGCAAUCCAGCGCCUUGAAGAUGGUGGGCUUACAGCUUCAGAAUGAUAAUUCAACUGAUGAUAAAGUGGGUUGGUGGAAAGAAGAUCACUUCAAUGCUUCUGAGUUUUCUCCAUUCAGCAGACGCCAGCAAUCCAAAACUGAUCCACUGGUUGUCCAAGGAAGAAAUUAGGGAAGUGAUAAAGAAAAAGAUGGAAAGCUUAAUUCUCAAGAAUAUUUUAAUGGCUUAUUGGACUUGAUUAAGAGAUAUGAUGAUGUUUAUAAGUUUACACGAACUGAUACUUCAGCAGAGGCACCAGCUACAAAAUUAUUCUCACAACUCGACCACAGCAACAAUGGUUCUCAGAAGAUGAGCUGAUAUCUGUAAUUGGUGAUCUACACCUGCCAGAGCAUUACUUUGCAAAACAACAAGCUGAUUGUGGUAUCUCAGAGGUCUUUGUUGACUAGAUUCUUAGAAAUAUUUUUAUCUACUUCAUGUAUGCAAAUAAGAAUGCUCAUAAUGUGGAUUUCUUGUUCAAGAGAAUAAUUGAUAGUUGACUCUGAUAUGCCCCUUAUAUCAUAGACAUUUCCUUUUCAUGAACAGAAAAGUUAUCCUUAUUCAGACUAAAAGAAGAGGACUAAAAUUCUCUUUUCUAGCAUGCUGUUUCGACUACUGGAAGCAGGUACAGGAUUCUAGUAAAACAAAUGCCAAAAAAUGGCAAGUGUAAUUAUUAUUCAUGAUCCAACAAUUGUUACAGUAAUUGUUCAUGUAUAGAACUCAGAUGUUUUCGUUUCCUUUUAAUUAUACUGUUGCAGUUGGUAGUCUGUAAAAAGUUAAGAUUCAUCUUCCUUUCUUUCUGCAUAUGGCUCACUGGAGCGGUGUAGUUUUAGGCCUGUAAUGCAAAAGGCUCUCAUUUUUCAUAAUUGUCAUGGACUUUUUUAUCAUGUCUCCUCCCUGAACUCUUCCUACAUCGAGGAAAAUUUUGAUGAAUGCACAGUUACAUAAAUUUAGGGCAGUAAGGUGAUUUCUUAUUUUAAGUUAUCUCCCUUUCUUGGCUAAAUUUGCUUCAGCUCAGAAUUUGGCACUAUCUUCAUCAGGUUGAUGUUUGAUCGAUAGCCAGUCAUAUAAAUUUAUCAGAUAUUUACAUGCAUGAUAAGGACCAUCAUUUAAAACAUCAUGUGAAAUAAUGUUUUAGGAGAAUGAAGAGGUGGUGAGCUUUUUCUUUUUUUUGUCAUGUGUGGGUAGGGUUCUGUUGGGGAGGGGACCUCGAUGCUGAGUAUCUGUAUCUCUGCAAGCAUGAGGUGCAUAGUUUGUUUCUCUUACCAUUGUUUGUUUAGAAACCUCACAGAUUUGUGCAAUCGACUUCCUCAGUUAUCCUCCAAACUAUGUCGUGGAGGGGCACAAAUAAAUAUUCCUAGUGGUGCACUUUACUGUCUCCUGUAAAGUUAUUUGCUGAAGUGUAAUCUCUUUGUGGUGGAGCUAUUCAUCCCCUGCUAUUGAUCAUUUCAGCAAGGUUCUUUUGAUGUUUUCCCGUUUUCCUCCCUACCCCGCAGUGUGUGUCUUGUUGAGUUGCUUUAUGGUGAGACAAAGAUUAUAGCAACUCUAAUUGCAGAAUCUUGGCAUGCUUGUAACAUACAAGAUCUGGGUUUUUUAUCUUUAAUGCAUGCCAUGAAACCAUGUGGUUACUGUAAUUUUCCAGAUAUAUAUAGGUAGAAUGGUGACUUGAAAAGAUGGGGAAGCUAAAAUAAGAUUUCACUUGGGCAAUGGGAAGGUAGAAUGAGAAUUCUAGAAACUUGCUGGCUGUUUAUUUUGGGCAAUUUUAUCCCAUGAUUUUAUGACAAAAUCCUUUUCAAUUAUAUCAUUAGCGUAUUCAACAGUGCCAUGACAUUUCACGUGAGUUAUCUUCUGCAAAUCAUGCAUCCACUUAUAACUAUUUCCAGCUUGAUUGCUAGAGCUCAUGUCAUUCAUGCUGUGCUGAAAUAUACAAUAGUAGUUCUUGGCAGUCUGCAGGCCAAUACAGAAACAGAUGGUCGCUUAAAUUACAAGGAGGUGAUCGAAAACCCUUUUGUAUUUGUACACUGCUAUUCCCAACGAGGAUGAUGAUAAUGAAUUCCAUAAUGAGUUUCGCUAGUUUUCCAGGUUAUGCUUCCUCAAAGUCCUGAAAGCAAUAGCAGUCGAUAUCGAUUUGCUUGAUUUCUUGGAUUUGCAGUUCACUGGAGACUCUUCUUCGAGUUAAUGUACUUCCGAAACAUGAAAACUGUGAGCAACUCUCAUCGACUACACUGUGAUGAUAAAGCGGAAGAACAUGAGGUACUGAAAGCAUCAUUAGCGUCGCCGUCUCAUUGGUGCAUCGAGAUCCGUGCCGAGAGUAGAUGAUGCGUGGAUGUCAGAACCUUUUUGCAUGGGUUCGUGACGUCCCAUCCCAAACGAACACCAAAGCCAUGGGAAUGAUUUCACUGUUCGUCGUGAUGAUGGUUGCAUACGGAAACAGGACACACACACGUCAUGUUGAUAGACCCAACGCAGCCAUAGCUUUAGCCUUUGCCUGUGCCAUCUUUCUACUAUCCUCUUUCUUGUCCUCCACUGAGAGCCAAAGAGCACAGAAGGAUGUAUGGGAUUGAGAUAAGUUUUAGGCGAAAGGAUUACAGAAGAAGAAGAUGCAGCGGAUGGAUGAGUGAGGAGCGUGAAGGCAGCUGCAUUCAUUUUCCUUUACAACAGCCGAAGUGUGUACUACCGCUAUAUCAGAUGGAACAGCAGCAGUACUUCGCCUCUUCACAUGCCGCAAACAUUUCUAGGGAUUAGUAAAAGCUCGAAGACAAAGAAUGCAAUGGUAGCUUUUGCUUCUUGCAGUCUCAGCUAGCUUUUGUGUGUGCUGGUGCUGGUGCUUCUUAUGCAAAUUGUUUUCUCUGUCCGAUCUUAAUUGAGAAGCUUGAGAUUGUAAGGUUGCACGACUGUGAAGGUGUUUUGUUUGACUAUGUAGCAGAUAACAAUGCGUGAUGGUCACAUGGCUACAGAAAACGUGAAUAUAUGCUCACCCACAAGAGCCCGACAGGAAACGGCCAAAGUUGUCAGAGUCCCAUGCUGCAAUUUCGAACCACUGCGCGUGAAUUCUGAAUCAUGGAUGUCAAUGGCUUUUUCUUUGUUUUCAUCUCAGCUGAGAGAAGAUGGAUAGCUAUAUCAGACAUCCAAGCAUGAUUAAUUCAAUGUGAUUCAAGUUGCAAAGAGAAAUGUUCCUUCAUAACCUACAGGACAACCUGAACUCAUGCCCAAAUGAUAACACUCCCUGCUCAGCUCUUUCUCUGUAUACGGACUCGGUCAAAGAGAAGAAGCUCACAAGAAAGCAAAGCAUGGUGAGAGAGCGUGCAGUGCUCCACCGCCUCGUGGUACCUGCUGCUGCAAUUCUUCUUCACACCUCGGCAUCGGAAGCAGCAGCAACACGACCACCGCCCACGCACGGGUCGAGGUGACAGAAGCUCUAAAAAGACAGGAACAGUAGCCUCUUAGUUACAGAUUCCUUCUCCCUCCCUCGCCAUCCUCGGUGAAAGCUUUGACCUCCUCCCUUCACCCCUCCAUUAAUGCCUAUGUCCCUCUGUGCCUGCAUGUGUGCGUCUGCGUGGUUUAAGUACUGUCGUCUUCGUCGCUGGAGGCUGGUGACACAUAAAGAACACGUCCUCUGA